rnacentral:rRNA from 1 species
AGUGAACGCUGGCGGUAGGCCUAACACAUGCAAGUCGAACGGCAGCACAGUAAGAGCUUGCUCUUACGGGUGGCGAGUGGCGGACGGGUGAGGAAUACAUCGGAAUCUACUUUUUCGUGGGGGAUAACGUAGGGAAACUUACGCUAAUACCGCAUACGACCUACGGGUGAAAGCAGGGGAUCUUCGGACCUUGCGCGAUUGAAUGAGCCGAUGUCGGAUUAGCUAGUUGGCGGGGUAAAGGCCCACCAAGGCGACGAUCCGUAGCUGGUCUGAGAGGAUGAUCAGCCAAACUGGAACUGAGACACGGUCCAGACUCCUACGGGAGGAAGCAGUGGGGAAUAUUGGACAAUGGGCGCACGCCUGAUCCAGCAAUACCGCGUGGGUGAAGAAGGCCUUCGGGUUGUAAAGCCCUUUUGUUGGGAAAGAAAAGCAGCAGGUUAAUACCCCGCUGUUCUGACGGUACCCAAAGAAUAAGCACCGGCUAACUUCGUG